GAUGAACGCUAGCGACAGGCCUAACACAUGCAAGUCGAGGGGCAGCAUAAAGGUAGCAAUACUUUGGUGGCGACCGGCGCACGGGUGAGUAACACGUAUGCAACCUACCUGUAAGAGGGGAAUAACCCGGAGAAAUUCGGACUAACACCGCAUAAUACCGAUUAACUGCAUGGUUGAUCGGUUAAAUAUUUAUAGCUUACAGAUGGGCAUGCGUAACAUUAGUUAGUUGGUGAGGUAACGGCUCACCAAGUCAACGAUGUUUAGGGGUUCUGAGAGGAAGGUCCCCCACACUGGUACUGAGACACGGACCAGACUCCUACGGGAGGCAGCAGUGAGGAAUAUUGGUCAAUGGGCGAGAGCCCGAACCAGCCAAGUCGCGUGAAGGAAGAAUGUCCUAUGGAUUGUAAACUUCUUUUGUAAGGGAAUAAAAAAGCUUACGUGUAGGCUAUUGUAUGUACUUUACGAAUAAGGAUCGGCUAACUCCGUGCCAGCCGCCGCGGUAAUAC
rnacentral:rRNA from 1 species